AUUGAACGCUGGCGGCAGGCCUAACACAUGCAAGUCGAACGGUAACAGGAAGCAGCUUGCUGCUUUGCUGACGAGUGGCGGACGGGUGAGUAAUGUCUGGGAAACUGCCCGAUGGAGGGGGAUAACUACUGGAAACGGUAGCUAAUACCGCAUAACGUCGCAAGACCAAAGAGGGGGACCUUAUGGCCUCUUGCCAUCGGAUGUGCCCAGAUGGGAUUAGCUAGUAGGUGGGGUAACGGCUCACCUAGGCGACGAUCCCUAGAUGGUCUGAGAGGAUGACCAGCGACACUGGAACUGAGACACGGUCAAGACUACUACGGGAGGCAGCAGUGGGGAAUAUUGCACAAUGGGCGGAAGCCUGAUGCAGCAAUGCCGCGUGUAUGAAGAAGGCCUUCGGGUUGUAAAGUACUUUCAGCGGGGAGGAAGGGAGUAAAGUUAAUACCUUUGCUCAUUGACGUUACCCGCAGAAGAAGCACCGGCUAACUCCGUG
rnacentral:rRNA from 1 species